rnacentral:rRNA from 1 species
GACGAACGCUGGCGGCGUGCUUAACACAUGCAAGUCGAACGGAAAGGCCCUGCUUUUGUGGGGUGCUCGAGUGGCGAACGGGUGAGUAACACGUGAGUAACCUGCCUUUGACUUUGGGAUAACUUCAGGAAACUGGGGCUAAUACCGGAUAGGAGCUCCUGCUGCAUGGUGGGGGUCGGAAAGUUUCGGCGGUUGGGGAUGGACUCGCGGCUUAUUAGCUUGUUGGUGGGGUAGUGGCUUACCAAGGCUUUGACGGGUAGCCGGCCUGAGAGGGGGACCGGCGACAUUAGGACUGAGAUACGGCCCAGACUCCUACGGGAGGCAGCAGUGGGGAAUAUUGCACAAUGGGCGGAAGCCUGAUGAAGAGACGCCGCGUGCGGGAUGACGGCCUUCGGGUGGUAAACCGCUUUCGCCUGUGACGAAGCGUGAGUGACGGUAAUGGGUAAAGAAGCACCGGCUAACUACGUG